UACGUAGGGUGCAAGCGUUGUCCGGAAUUAUUGGGCGUAAAGAGCUUGUAGGCGGUUUGUCGCGUCUGCUGUGAAAUUUCGGGGCUCAACCCCGAACUUGCAGUGGGUACGGGCAGACUAGAGUGUGGUAGGGGGAGACUGGAAUUCCUGGUGUAGCGGUGAAAUGCGCAGAUAUCAGGAGGAACACCGGUGGCGAAGGCGGUUCUCUGGGCAUGACCUGACGCUGAGGAGCGAAAAGCAUGGGGGAGCGAACAGG
rnacentral:rRNA from 1 species